GUACUCAUUUUGGCAGUACAUACACUAAAUAGGAACAAUACAGAAAAGAUUAGCAUAACACCUAUGCAAGGAUGACUCAAGUAUUCCAUAUUUUCUCUCUCUUUUU
ensembl:snRNA U6 U6 spliceosomal RNA